rnacentral:lncRNA from 1 species
CUUUACAACUCCUUGAAGAUAUUGGUUUUUUGGGUUGUAAACCAGCAUCAUUGCCAAUGGAUCCUAAAGUAAAGCUCAACUCCUUUGAAGGAAAGCCACUUGCUGAUGCAUCCCUUUAUCGUCGACUUGUUGGCAGGCUACUAUACCUGACCAUCUCUCGCCCAGACAUUACAUUUGCUAUCCACAAAUUAAGUCAGUUUGUCUCACAGCCUUGACAACCCCACUUAGAUGCUGUACAUCAUCUCUUACGAUAUAUCAAAUCUGCUCCUGGUCAGGGAUUGAUAUUUGAUGCACUUUCCUCGUUCCAGAUUCGAGCCUUUGCUGAUGCAGAUUGGGGGUCAUGCCCUGACUCAAGAAAGUCAGUCACUGGCUUUUGCAUAUAUCUUAGAAAUUCUCUAAUCUCUUGGAAGUCUAAGAAGCAAACCACCAUCUCCAGAUCUUCAGCGGAGGCUGAAUAUCGGGCUUUGGCUUCAUCAGCUUGUGAGAUCAUUUGGAUUCAACAACUCCUUCUUGAUUUGCAAGUCACAGCUUCUAUUCCAGCAGUGAUUUAUUGUGAUAAUCAAGCUGCCAUUCACAUUGCCAACAAUCUUAUCUUUCAUGAAAGAACAAAGCAUAUAGAGAUCGACUGCCACUUCAUUCGGGAUAAAGUCAACAAAGGUUUCAUUAAGCUUCUACCAAUUAGAUCUCAACAUCAACUGGCUGACAUGUUCACUAAGCUGUUGCCUUCAUCUCUUCUCUUCCCUCUCUUGUUCAAGAUGGCUAUUCUUAAUCCUCAUAAUCCAUCUUGAGGGGGAGUAUUAGAGAAUAAUAGUUCACGUGUUUAACAUUUUGGUGCCAAUUGUACAGUUGUAAUAUAGCCAUCAUUCACCUAUUUAUAUAGACCUCUUGUAUUCAUUUUCUGUUUUUAGAAUUAACAAUAUGAAAUGUUCUUUCAUCCAUAAUAAGAGAUCUAGCGAGUAACAUUCCUAAUUAUUUCAUUGAA